rnacentral:rRNA from 1 species
GACGAACGCUGGCGGCGUGCUUAACACAUGCAAGUCGAACGGAAAGGCCCUGCUUUUGUGGGGUGCUCGAGUGGCGAACGGGUGAGUAACACGUGAGUAACCUGCCCUUGACUUUGGGAUAACUUCAGGAAACUGGGGCUAAUACCGGAUAGGAGCUCCUGCUGCAUGGUGGGGGUUGGAAAGUUUCGGCGGUUGGGGAUGGGCUCGCGGCUUAUCAGCUUGUUGGUGGGGUAGUGGCUUACCAAGGGUUUGACGGGUAGCCGGCCUGAGAGGGUGACCGGCCACAUUGGGACUGAGGUACGGCCCAGACUCGUACGGGAGGCAGCAGGGGGGAAUAUUGCACAAUGGGCGGAAGCCUGAUGCGGCAACACCGCGUGCGGGAUGACGGCCUUCGGGUUAUAAACCGCUUUCGCCUGUGACGAAGCGUGAGUGACGGUAAUGGGUAAAGAAGCACCGGCUAACUACGUG